CAAAGUCUUGGCUAUAAGGCUUAUUGAUGAGUGGGUAACUUAUCAACAUAUAUCCACUUAUCACGCCUUAUUUCUUCAGACACAGAUCAGUAAGUCAAGCUGACACAAGAUAACAUUUAUUCUAUGGAAAUUUCUCAUUCGAAUGUGUUGAUGCAAAACCUUCAUCACCUGAAGAAUAAUGUCAGGGGAGUAUUUUAUUUUAAGAUAAAUUUGGGGCAAAAUGGCUGCUUUGAUUGAGAUUAUGUAAGACUGGUCCUGGCACAGCUAUUACUGAUUCAUUUUACACACAGUGUCUACGUUUAGCUGCUGGGCAUAACAUACACCUGUCAUGGUGAAUGGAAUAAAUAGAAAGCUAUAUUAGAUGAAUAGGAAUUGCUGACAGUUGAGGAAAUCGGUUAUUGGGGUAUUUAACCCCGGGUUUAGCCUGCCAGGCUACACUUGUUUCCCGUGGUUGUGUAUUGCCUUCACAAGGGACACGUUUUACCAGAAUACAUCGUUACAUUUUUCGAGGUUCAGUUGGGACCGGAGUUGGCAGCUGACUGGGAAAAUCUGCCUGAGAGUCUGAACAAAGGGUCAAAUAAAACACACAACCCCACCCCCCCUUACCCUCGCUUCCUGUUUUGGAGCAGGAGGGGGGGAGGGUCGGUCCUGUCGGGUUGAUUCACUCUGUCGACCUCCGAACGGUGGCGAUCUUUGCCGAACUCGUGCACCGGCGGUAGUGCUGCUGCUGCUGUUCGUGCUGCGUGUCCUCGUCGCAGCUCCACCGUCCAUCUCUGACACUGUUUCCAUCAUGGUGGACAUUUUGUUGUUGAUGUUCUUCGCCAUUAUGGGCCUCGUCUUCCUCUCCUACAUCAUCUACAUGCUGUGAUGAUGAGGAUGAUGAUGAGGAUGAUGAGGCGUCCCGCUCAGCGACACAGGCGGCCGGUACACGGGCGUGCGCAGGAUGUGUGUUUUUCCUCUCCUGCAUCCCUGGUUUCCAUCAUGGACAAUGGGAGAAGAGCCAGGGCCAAGCCGUGAUGGUUUCCCCCAUCAGAGCUCUCUCAGGUGGGAUGUGAAGAGCGGAUCUCCCGCGGAGAGGAAAAACAAAUGAAGAAGAGGUGGAGGCCAAACUCUCUCAGCCUCUCUAUCCUCCCACUUGCACCCUGUCAUUGUUCCCAGCCCUCCUGUAAAGGAUCAGACCGGUCUGGCUAAGAUCCUCCAACAGAAUUUCACUCCAAAGUCCCCCACUUACUUACCUGCAGUCAAUCCAACCCAUGUGUAUUUUCUAUCAAGGCUGUGCAUGCCCAUGUUCCUCUGUAGAGGAGGAGAAAUGUUACCUCUGCACAAGUCCAAAAAAAGAUGGAUGCAGGAUGGUUUUUGUAGGUUUGAGUGUAGAAUUUGCCUUUUUUAUAACACUGUGAGCUAAUUACUGGUCCCACCUUUGAUGUGUAGUGUUCAGUUUAACAGUAUUAUCCAUAUGAUUAUCCAUGUGUGGCCAACCCUUCUGUCCUCAUAGGUUUUUUUUUAAAUUUCAUCAGCUUUGUGUUUUAUCAGAUGCCUCGGUCGGCUCAGCCUUCACAUCAGUGUUAAUAUUACUUUAUCAUGUGUUGCCAAUAUGUUCUCCUCCUCACUGCAAUCAAGAUUCCCCAUCAGGUCAGCGGGGAACGGGUCAGUAGAACAAUAACUCUCACUUCAGUGGAAGUAAGAGGCCACACCAUAUCAGUUGCCCAUGUUGCUCUGCUACUGUGUUUGUCUUAAUAAUAUUUUGGCUGCAAAUGACACUCAUGAAGAGCGACGGUGUCAUUUCACAAGUCAGUCCACUGUACGUGCUUUUCAUUUUUACCACCAAACCUCAUAUUAAUGAUGUUCAGUUUACCGAUGCACUGAUGAUUUACAGAGAUUAAUGACAGUAUUUAUCGAUAUGUCAAAUAAAGAUGAUUUCAGUAAA